UCCGGUCUUUCAUUGAGUGAGUCGACUUUGGCUGUUCGGUCUCUUCUCACGUUCAGCUCUGAGGACUUCAGGCCCGAGCUGUGGACCAGGGAAGAAAUGCCGCCAGUGGACGCUGAGCGGUGAAUCUGCCAUUUUUGGUCAAAAGCUCCCCGGAGGGAGAUUCUUGCAAAAGCUAAAAAAUGUUUUCCUGUGAGGUUUCCCAUCCAACUAGUUGAUGCAUCUUAAGGCGAAUAUAAGAAGGGAGACCAGGAAGAGGCUCAAGGAAACUUUUGAUGCGUUGUUCUUCAGCAGGACCUCGAUGGGGGAAGUGGGAGGAAACCGGAGUGCCCGGAGGAAACCCGCGGAGGCACAGGAGAACAUGCAAACUACACACAGGUACAGAUUUCUACAAUGAUUUGUUGAGCGGUGAGGGGACACAGACCAGUCUCUGGAGCUUUGAAGCGAACAACGAACGGCUCUCUGGAGAAUGCAUCAACAUUUCCUGGCUUGUUGUCUGGGUACUGAUAUUGGCCCGUGACCGUCACUCUAUCACGCCUGCACAUAUUAUGUUUCUGUGAGAUUUGACCUGCCCAGCCUUUCACUCGCCACAGCUUUGUACUCGUGAUUAAGGUCAGACCUGCAAAUAAGUAUUGAGAAUAUAUUAACGGACAAGGACAACAAGAGUCAGCGUACUGGUCCAGACAUCAUUCUGUGUGUGAGAGGGGGUUGGGGUGUGUGUGUGACAGACAGUGAGGUUGAAAUCACUUGUU